CCUACGGGUGGCAGCAGUGGGGAAUAUUGCACAAUGGGGGAAACCCUGAUGCAGCGACGCCGCGUGAGCGAUGAAGUAUUUCGGUAUGUAAAGCUCUAUCAGCAGGGAAGAAAAUGACGGUACCUGACUAAGAAGCACCGGCUAACUACGUGCCAGCAGCCGCGGUAAUACGGAGGGGGCAAGCGUUAUUCGGAUUUACUGGGUGUAAAGGGAGCGUAGGCGGGUUUGCAAGCCAGAUGUGAAAGCCCAUGGCUUAACCCAAGGACUGCAAUUGAAACUGUUUUGCUGGAGUGUCGGAGAGGCAGGCGGAAUUCCUAGUGUAGCGGUGAAAUGCGUAGAGAUUAGGAGGAACACGAGUUGCGAAGGCGGCCUGCUGGACGAUGACUGACGUUGAUGCGCGAAAGCGUGGGGAGCAAACAGGAUUAGAUACCCUAGUAGUC
rnacentral:rRNA from 1 species